rnacentral:lncRNA from 1 species
UCUUUGGAGGGCUAGAGUUUGAUAUCCAGUGCUACAUAUAUUGUUUUAUAAUGGAAACUCCUAUAGAGAAUGCUUUGUGGGAGAAAAAAUUCGAUUAUCUUGGAAUUUUAAGCUGUUUUAAUUGGUGAUACGACUUUUUUCUUGUACUGAUAAACAUAUUCCCAUAUUUUUUUUUGAUUCUAUCAUUUUGAGAAAACAAUUUAAAACCAGAUUUUUCCUUAAAAAAAGGGGCGCCCAUUUUUUCAAAAAACCUUCUUCUUGCUAUUUUUAACUAAUAUCAAAAGACUAAAUGAAAAAAUCUUGAUUCGUUUGCGAGUUAUUAAUUUAGGACAACAAAAGUGUUCAUUGCGACCAUAGUGCAUGCGGGUGUAGGGAGUGUGUGUGUGCAUGGCGAGGUGCCGAUGAAGAUCCGGUCUCUUCCUCUGGACAUGUCCGCCGUUUUAUCGUUGGUUGCAGCUCCCUGCAGUGCUCCUCCAGCAAUGCUCCGGCCGGGCCAGUCUUGGCGCUGACCCAGCUGUCGGAUCCCUGCUUGGUGUCCGCUGCCGCCGUCUCCUCCUUCCCGCGCCGUCUUUGCCUCGUUUAAACGAUUGUGUGUUCGUGUUGUCUCUGCACUUAUUUUUAUUUAUUUUUUUGUUUUAGCGGUUGCCGACGAUUUGCAUGCUCUUCGCUCUUCCCGGAAACUGACCCUCGCAAUCUAACCUUCACGGCCACGCUUCCUUCUCCCACCUUGCCACCUUGCUCCAUCCCUAUAACCCUGUUACAGGAGCGCCGGACCUCUCAAAAGAUCACUUCGCAAUCCGUAAAGGUGAAUAAAAACGAUGAGACACAGGCCCCGCUGCCAUGGGAUUGGGAGUGGUUAUAAUUUCUGGCCAGAAACACCGUGACGAUGGGUAUCAUCACAAGUAUUGCCCCACAGAGGAAGAUAACUUUCUUCUUAGUGAACAUUUGGGGCACCGGAGGCUUCUUUAUAGCCUCUGCAGCGUCCUUUAUUCGCUUGUCAUGGCAGCAGUUACAGCAUCGUAACUCGUUGACUAAUUCUAGCGUGUUGCUGCGGCGGUUAUCCCUAGCUCUGGACAUGGUCUGGAACAGUCCGUCGAAUAGCUUUUGCACCUCGCACAUGAGUGUUUGUAGCUCUUUUUUUAAGAAUUUAAUUUCAAAAAAUUUCAGAAAAUUUCAGAAACUGAGUAUAAAUCCAAAUC